rnacentral:rRNA from 1 species
UACGGGGGGGGGGCAAGCGUUGUUCGGAAUUACUGGGCGUAAAGGGUUCGUAGGUGGCCAACUAAGUCAGACGUGAAAUCCCUCGGCUCAACCGGGGAACUGCGUCUGAUACUGGUUGGCUUGAGUGCAGGAGAGGAACGCGGAAUUCCAGGUGUAGCGGUGAAAUGCGUAGAUAUCUGGAGGAACACCGGUGGCGAAGGCGGCGUUCUGGACUGCAACUGACACUGAGGAACGAAAGCCAGGGGAGCAAACGGG